UCUAACUGGCCAAUCAACUCUAGCCUUUUUCUUAGGCCUCCCAGCUAAACUUGAGGGCUCCCAAACCCUCUUACUCCUACCCCUAUCCAUCUCACAAUUCUGGGGCUCAGCGCCCUUCACCUCCUUGGUGAUUUUCACCUUUUCCACCAACACAGCAAAUCUCGCUCCCUCUAUGGAGCAAUCAAAACUCGUCGAUCAUCUCUAAGGCCAUCCUCAAAGUGAACACAGCGUUCGUAUCCUGUUGUCGCCAUCCC
rnacentral:lncRNA from 1 species